UGGGGAAUAUUGGACAGUGGGGGGAACCCUGAUCCAGCCAUGCCGCGUGUGUGAAGAAGGCCUUAUGGUUGUAAAGCACUUUAAGCGAGGAGGAGGGUACUGGUAUUAAUACUACCAGCUACUGGACGUUACUCGCAGAAUAAGCACCGGCUAACUCUGUGCCAGCAGCCGCGGUAAUACAGAGGGUGCGAGCGUUAAUCGGAUUUACUGGGCGUAAAGCGUGCGUAGGCGGCUAAUUGAGUCGGAUGUGAAAUCCCCGAGCUUAACUUGGGAAUUGCAUUCGAUACUGGUUAGCUAGAGUGUGGGAGAGAAUGGUAGAAUUCCAGGUGUAGCGGUGAAAUGCGUAGAGAUCUGGAGGAAUACCGAUGGCGAAGGCAGCCAUCUGGCCUAACACUGACGCUGAGGUACGAAAGCAUGGGGAGCAAACAGG
rnacentral:rRNA from 1 species